rnacentral:rRNA from 1 species
CAGCCGUAAACUAUGCGCGUUAGGUGUAUCGGUGACCACGAGUCACCGAGGUGCCGAAGGGAAACCGUGAAACGUGCCGCCUGGGAAGUACGGUCGCAAGGCUGAAACUUAAAAGGAAUUGGCGGGGGAGCACAACAACGGGUGGAGCCUGCGGUUUAAUUGGACUCAACGCCGGACAACUCACCGGGACGACAGCAAUAUGUAGGCCAGGCUGAAGACCUUGCCUGAAUCGCUGAGAGGAGGUGCAUGGCGUAGACGUCU